rnacentral:rRNA from 1 species
UAUUACAAAAACAAAAUUAUUCGCCAGAGUACUACCGGCAACAGCCCGAAACUCAAAGGACUUGGCGGUGCUUUAUACCCUUCUAGAGGAGCCUGUUCUAUAAUCGAUAAACCCCGAUAAACCUCACCAAUCCUUGCUAAUACAGUCUAUAUACCGCCAUCUUCAGCAAACCCUAAAAAGGAACAAAAGUAAGCUCAAUCACAGCACAUAAAAACGUUAGGUCAAGGUGUAACCCAUGGAGUGGGAAGAAAUGGGCUACAUUUUCUACCCCAAGAAAAUUUAACACGAAAGUCAUUAUGAAAUUAAUGACCAAAGGAGGAUUUAGUAGUAAACUAAGAAUAGAGUGCUUAGUUGAACUAGGCCAUGAAGCACGCACACACC